AUCCUGGCUCAGAUUGAACGCUGGCGGCAGGCUUAACACAUGCAAGUCGAGCGGUAGCACAGGGGAGCUUGCUCCCNGGGUGACGAGCGGCGGACGGGUGAGUAAUGUCUGGGAAACUGCCUGAUGGAGGGGGAUAACUACUGGAAACGGUAGCUAAUACCGCAUAACGUCGCAAGACCAAAGAGGGGGACCUUCGGGCCUCUUGCCAUCAGAUGUGCCCAGAUGGGAUUAGCUAGUAGGUGGGGUAAUGGCUCACCUAGGCGACGAUCCCUAGCUGGUCUGAGAGGAUGACCAGCCACACUGGAACUGAGACACGGUCCAGACUCCUACGGGAGGCAGCAGUGGGGAAUAUUGCACAAUGGGCGCAAGCCUGAUGCAGCCAUGCCGCGUGUGUGAAGAAGGCCUUCGGGUUGUAAAGCACUUUCAGCGAGGAGGAAGGUGGUGANCUUAAUACGNUCAUCAAUUGACGUUACUCGCAGAAGAAGCACCGGCUAACUCCGUGCCAGCAGCCCGCG
rnacentral:rRNA from 1 species